GAUGAACGCUGGCGGCGUGCCUAAUACAUACAGGUCGAGCGAACGGACGAGAAGCUUGCUUCUCUGAUGUUAGCGGCGGACGGGUGAGUAACACGUGGAUAACCUACCUAUAAGACUGGGAUAACUUCGGGAAACCGGAGCUAAUACCGGAUGAUAUUUUGAACCGCAUGGUUCAAAAGUGAAAGACGGUCUUGCUGUCACUUAUAGAUGGAUCCGCGCUGCAUUAGCUAGUUGGUAAGGUAACGGCUUACCAAGGCAACGAUGCAUAGCCGACCUGAGAGGGUGAUCGGCCACACUGGAACUGAGACACGGUCCAGACUCCUACGGGAGGCAGCAGUAGGGAAUCUUCCGCAAUGGGCGAAAGCCUGACGGAGCAACGCCGCGUGAGUGAUGAAGGUCUUCGGACCGUAAAACUCUGUUAUUAGGGAAGAACAUAUGUGUAAGUAACUGUGCACAUCUUGACGGUACCUAAUCAGAAAGCCACGGCUAACUACGUG
rnacentral:rRNA from 1 species